ACUAGAGGCAGGAAGUUAGCAUGGUAGAGAUCGAUUGGGUCAGCCGUCACCCAGGUACCUAGAAACUUCAUUUUUUCUGUGCACCAGAGGAAUGGGAAUUUGGGUUUCAGAUUAUCAUAUUCUUCUGUCAGGGUGGUGAUAUCGAGGACCUCACAUUUCGAAAGGUUCAACUAAGGAAUUAUCAGAUAUGUCAUGAAUGAUAGGAGUUACAAUCAAUUUAAAAAAAAAAUCUAGCUUUGCAAUGACAAUAGACUAAUAAAGAAUAAAUGUUAUCCCUUGUAUAGGAUGCACAUUGUGUUACACAGAAUGAGGACCAAAAGAG